rnacentral:rRNA from 1 species
GCAGGCUUAACACAUGCAAGUCGAGCGGGGGAAGGUAGCUUGCUACUGGACCUAGCGGCGGACGGGUGAGUAAUGCUUAGGAAUCUGCCUAUUAGUGGGGGACAACAUCUCGAAAGGGAUGCUAAUACCGCAUACGUCCUACGGGAGAAAGCAGGGGAUCUUCGGACCUUGCGCUAAUAGAUGAGCCUAAGUCGGAUUAGCUAGUUGGUGGGGUAAAGGCCUACCAAGGCGACGAUCUGUAGCGGGUCUGAGAGGAUGAUCCGCCACACUGGGACUGAGACACGGCCCAGACUCCUACGGGAGGCAGCAGUGGGGAAUAUUGGACAAUGGGGGGAACCCUGAUCCAGCCAUGCCGCGUGUGUGAAGAAGGCCUUAUGGUUGUAAAGCACUUUAAGCGAGGAGGAGGCUACUUUAGUUAAUACCUAGAGAUAGUGGACGUUACUCGCAGAAUAAGCACCGGCUAACUCUGUGCCAGCAGCCGCGGUAAUACAGAGGGUGCGAGCGUUAAUCGGAUUUACUGGGCGUAAAGCGUGCGUAGGCGGCUUAUUAAGUCGGAUGUGAAAUCCCCGAGCUUAACUUGGGAAUUGCAUUCGAUACUGGUGAGCUAGAGUAUGGGAGAGGAUGGUAGAAUUCCAGGUGUAGCGGUGAAAUGCGUAGAGAUCUGGAGGAAUACCGAUGGCGAAGGCAGCCAUCUGGCCUAAUACUGACGCUGAGGUACGAAAGCAUGGGGAGCAAACAGGAUUAGAUACCCUGGUAGUCCAUGCCGUAAACGAUGUCUACUAGCCGUUGGGGCCUUUGAGGCUUUAGUGGCGCAGCUAACGCGAUAAGUAGACCGCCUGGGGGAGUACGGUCGCAAGACUAAAACUCAAAUGAAUUGACGGGGGCCCGCACAAGCGGUGGAGCAUGUGGUUUAAUUCGAUGCAACGCGAAGAACCUUACCUGGCCUUGACAUACUAGAAACUUUCCAGAGAUGGAUUGGUGCCUUCGGGAAUCUAGAUACAGGUGCUGCAUGGCUGUCGUCAGCUCGUGUCGUGAGAUGUUGGGUUAAGUCCCGCAACGAGCGCAACCCUUUUCCUUACUUGCCAGCAUUUCGGAUGGGAACUUUAAGGAUACUGCCAGUGACAAACUGGAGGAAGGCGGGGACGACGUCAAGUCAUCAUGGCCCUUACGGCCAGGGCUACACACGUGCUACAAUGGUCGGUACAAAGGGUUGCU